rnacentral:rRNA from 1 species
CCCUUAGAUGUUCUGGGCCGCACGCGCGCUACACUGACUGGUUCAACGAGUUGCAUUUCUCCUUUGCUCCGAAAGGCAUGGGUAAUCUGUGAACGCCAGUCGUGAUGGGGAUAGAUUCUUGGAAUUAAAAUCUUCAACGAGGAAUUCCUAGUAAACGCAAGUCAUCAACUUGCAUUGAUUACGUCCCUGCCCUUUGUACACACCGCCCGUCGCACCUACCGAUUGAAUGGUCCGGUGAAAUUUUCGGAUCGUGGCAGUUUGCCUUCACGGGCGGCAGCCGUGAGAAGUUAAUUAAACCUUACCAUUUAGAGGAAGGUGAAGUCGUAACA